rnacentral:rRNA from 1 species
UGGGGAAUAUUGGACAAUGGGCGCAAGCCUGAUCCAGCCAUGCCGCGUGAGUGAUGAAGGCCCUAGGGUUGUAAAGCUCUUUCACCGGUGAAGAUAAUGACGGUAACCGGAGAAGAAGCCCCGGCUAACUUCGUGCCAGCAGCCGCGGUAAUACGAAGGGGGCUAGCGUUGUUCGGAUUUACUGGGCGUAAAGCGCACGUAGGCGGACUUUUAAGUCAGGGGUGAAAUCCCGGGGCUCAACCCCGGAACUGCCUUUGAUACUGGAAGUCUUGAGUAUGGUAGAGGUGAGUGGAAUUCCGAGUGUAGAGGUGAAAUUCGUAGAUAUUCGGAGGAACACCAGUGGCGAAGGCGGCUCACUGGACCGUUACUGGAGCUGAGGUGCGAAAGCGUGGGGAGCAAACAGG